rnacentral:tRNA from 1 species
GCGAGCGUAGCCAAGUGGUUAAGGCAGAGGUUUGUGGUACCUCCAUACGUGGGUUCGAUCCCCAUCGUUCGCC